AUUGAACGCUUGCGGCAGGCCUAACACAUGCAAGUCGAGCGAGUGGCGGACGGGUGAGUAAUGUCUGGGCAACUGCCUGAUGGCGGGGGAUAACUACUGGAAACUGUGGCUAAUACCGCAUACCCUCGUCUUUUCCCAUCUGGGAUUAGCUAGUAGGUGGGGUAAAGGCUCACCUAGGCGACGAUCCCUAGCUGGUCUGAGAGGAUGACCAGACACACUGGAACUGAGACACGGUCCAGACUCCUACGGGAGGCAGCAGUGGGGAAUAGUGCACAAUGGGCGCAAGCCUGAUGCAGCCAUGCCGCGUGUAUGAAGAAGGCCUUCGGGUUGUAAAGUACUUUCAGCGGGGAGGCGUUACCCGCAGAAGAAGCACCGGCUAACUCCGUGCCAGCAGCCGCGGUAAUAC
rnacentral:rRNA from 1 species